rnacentral:hammerhead_ribozyme from 1 species
AUCCAGCUGACGAGUCCCAAAUAGCACGAAACAUAUAUCUUGGAU